rnacentral:rRNA from 1 species
UACGUAGGGUGCGAGCGUUGUCCGGAAUUACUGGGCGUAAAGAGCUCGUAGGUGGUUUGUCGCGUUGUUCGUGAAAACUCACAGCUCAACUGUGGGCGUGCGGGCGAUACGGGCAGACUGGAGUACUGCAGGGGAGACUGGAAUUCCUGGUGUAGCGGUGGAAUGCGCAGAUAUCAGGAGGAACACCGGUGGCGAAGGCAGGUCUCUGGGCCAUAACUGACGCUGAGGUGCGAAAGCCAGGGGAGCAAACGGG